rnacentral:rRNA from 1 species
CCCUUAGAUGUCCUGGGCCGCACGCGCGUUACACUGAUGCAUUCAACGAGCCUAUAACCUUGGCCGAGAGGCCUGGGCAAUCUUGUUAACGUGCAUCGUGAUAGGGAUAGAUUAUUGAAAUUAUUAAUCUUGAACGAGGAAUUCCUAGUAAACGCAGAUCAUCAAUCUGCAUUGAUUACGUCCCUGCCCUUUGUACACACCGCCCGUCGCUCCUACCGAUUGAAUGUUCCGGUGAGCUCUUCGGACUGCGCGGUCUGCAGUUUCUGCGUUCCGUGCGGAAAGUUGCGCAAACCUUAACAUUUAGAGGAAGGAGAAGUCGUAACA